rnacentral:rRNA from 1 species
UACGGAGGGAGCUAGCGUUGUUCGGAAUUACUGGGCGUAAAGCGCGCGUAGGCGGCUUUGUAAGUUAGAGGUGAAAGCCCGGGGCUCAACCCCGGAACUGCCUUUAAGACUGCAUCGCUUGAAUCCAGGAGAGGUGAGUGGAAUUCCGAGUGUAGAGGUGAAAUUCGUAGAUAUUCGGAAGAACACCAGUGGCGAAGGCGACUCGCUGGACAAGUAUUGACGCUGAGGUGGCGAAAGCGUGGGGAGCAAACAGG